AGAAGGCAGACCCGGAGAACUGAAACAUCUUAGUACCCGGAGGAAGAGAAAGAAAAAUCGAUUCCCUGAGUAGCGGCGAGCGAAACGGGAAGAGCCCAAACCAAUAAGCUUGCUUAUUGGGGUUGUAGGACACUCUAUACGGAGUUACAAAGGAAUAUGUUAGACGAAUCAUCUGGAAAGUUGAAUCAAAGAAGGUAAUAAUCCUGUAGUUGAAAAUAUAUUCUCUCUUGAGUGGAUCCUGAGUACGACGGAGCACGUGAAAUUCCGUCGGAAUCUGGGAGGACCAUCUCCUAAGGCUAAAUACUCUCUAGUGACCGAUAGUGAACCAGUACCGUGAGGGAAAGGUGAAAAGUACCCCGGAAGGGGAGUGAAAGAGAACUUGAAACCGUGUGCUUACAAGUAGUCAGAGCCCGUUAAUGGGUGAUGGCGUGCCUUUUGUAGAAUGAACCGGCGAGUUACGAUCUGAUGCAAGGUUAAGCAGG
rnacentral:rRNA from 1 species